CAGUAUUAAGGAUACAACUGCAGCCAACAUGGUCGACAUGGAAACAGUUAAUCCUUUUCCAAGGCUACUUGUUUUCUGUUAACAUAUUUUGAAGGAUGCAGACAGAUGGCAUCACUUGCAAAGUUAUUCUUUUAGUUUGUCAAGAGGCAGAGCAGCACCUGGAAAGCACUCAAAAGUUCCCAUCAAACAGGAUAAAUGUAGAAUCUGCAAAUAUUUGGAGAGAUUGGAUGUAUCUUCACAUCUUGAAUUCCAUGGUGCAAUUGUGUAUUGCAACAAAGUACAGAAGUAAAAGUAGAGAUGCAAUCAAAUAGGAGAUAUCUACUAAGGGAUGGAUUCUACUGGCUUCUGUGAAAAACAAC